rnacentral:rRNA from 1 species
CAAAGAUUAAGCCAUGCAUGUCUAAGCACAAGCCGAAAAACGGUGAAGCCGCGAAUGGCUCAUUACAACAGCCGUAGUUUCUUGGAUCUUUCUAUCCUACUUGGAUAACUGUGGUAAUUCUAGAGCUAAUACAUGCCAGAAAGCGCUGACUUUGCAGUCAGAGCGCAUUUAUUAGAUCAAAACCAAUCGGCUUCGGCCGUCGUUUGGUGAAUCUGAAUAACUCGGUAGAUCGCACGGUCCUCGCACCGGCGACGCAUCUUUCAAGUGUCUGCCUUAUCAACUUUCGAUGGUAGUUUAUGUGCCUACCAUGGUUGUAACGGGUAACGGAGAAUCAGGGUUCGACUCCGGAGAGGGAGCCUGAGAAACGGCUACCACAUCCAAGGAAGGCAGCAGGC